rnacentral:rRNA from 1 species
GGCUUAACACAUGCAAGUCGAGGGGUAGCAGGGUAGCAAUACCGCUGACGACCGGCGCACGGGUGAGUAACACGUAUCCAACCUUCCCAUAACUCGGGGAUAGCCUUUCGAAAGAAAGAUUAAUACCCGAUAGUACUUUAUUAAGGCAUCUUAAGAAAGUUAAAGAUUUAUUGGUUAUGGAUGGGGAUGCGUUCCAUUAGAUAGUUGGUGAGGUAACGGCUCACCAAGUCUUCGAUGGAUAGGGGUUCUGAGAGGAAGGUCCCCCACAUUGGUACUGAGACACGGACCAAACUCCUACGGGAGGCAGCAGUGAGGAAUAUUGGUCAAUGGGCGAGAGCCUGAACCAGCCAAGUAGCGUGAAGGAUGACGG